rnacentral:rRNA from 1 species
CAAGUCGAACGGUAGAGGGGGCAACCCCUUGAGAGUGGCGAACGGGCGAUUAAUAUAUCCGAACGUGCCCAGUCGUGGGGGAUAACGUAUCGAAAGUUACGCUAAUACCGCAUACGAUCUAAGGAUGAAAGCGGGGGAUCGCAAGACCUCGCGCGAUUGGAGCGGCCGAUAUCAGAUUAGGUAGUUGGUGGGGUAAAGGCUCACCAAGCCAACGAUCUGUAGCUGGUCUGAGAGGACGACCAGCCACACUGGAACUGAGACACGGUCCAGACUCCUACGGGAGGCAGCAGUGGGGAAUUUUGGACAAUGGACGCAAGUCUGAUCCAGCCAUUCCGCGUGCAGGAUGAAGGCCCUCGGGUUGUAAACUGCUUUUGUACGGAACGAAAAGGUUUCUCUUAAUACGAGGAGCUCAUGACGGUACCGUAAGAAUAAGCACCGGCUAACUACGUGCCAGCAGCCGCGGUAAUACGUAGGGUGCAAGCGUUAAUCGGAAUUACUGGGCGUAAAGCGUGCGCAGGCGGUUAUAUAAGACAGAUGUGAAAUCCCCGGGCUCAACCUGGGAACUGCAUUUGUGACUGUAUAGCUAGAGUACGGUAGAGGGGGAUGGAAUUCCGCGUGUAGCAGUGAAAUGCGUAGAUAUGCGGAGGAACACCGAUGGCGAAGGCAAUCCCCUGGACCUGUACUGACGCUCAUGCACGAAAGCGUGGGGAGCAAACAGGAUUAGAUACCCUGGUAGUCCACGCCCUAAACGAUGUCAACUGGUUGUUGGGUCUUCACUGACUCAGUAACGAAGCUAACGCGUGAAGUUGACCGC